UUUCACAUGAAAAGACUGGGACUAGGUAAUUUGGGGGCGGGACGGAGGAAGGACACAAGCUUCCUCCGCCCCGCCCCCAAAUCACCUAGUCCCAGUCUUUUCAUGUGAAA